ACUAAGUCAGGGGACCUUUAGUCAUUACUUAAAUAUAUAUAUUGUUGUGAAGUAAAAAAUCAACUUCUGAGAUACUGUUAGACUUUUUACUUUUAAUUAUUAUUUUAUUGAGUUUGGAUGACACACAAAUUAUGCAUAUUCGUUCAAUAUACUAUCAUGACUUGUCAGAGUUUAAAAUUUUAAAUUAAUCAACAAGUCAUUUAAUUUUAAGUUCUGUUAAUGUAAAAUACAAUUUGAUGACGCGUAACGGCCCACAGUUUCCCUCUCCUGCAUGCGCGCACGGGCAUGUUCAAGGCGAGACGAGUGACCACAGCUGAAACUCAUCAAAGCGUCGUGGUGAAUGGUCUUCAGUCACUUUGCCGUGUGCCUUGCAAGGACAAAAAACUCUUCAUCUUCUCCAGGUAUCCUGGUUUCGUGGACCAAGGGGUUCAAUUUGAGACGUGGUCAGCCUCUCAGGACAAACGAGAUAUCACCUUCUCCUUCCCCUGAGGCAUUUCUGCCUGCUGUCGUUGAACGAGGGGUUCAAUUUAAAACGUGAUCAACCUCCUGAAAAAAGCCUUGAAGAAGUACAGGUCUUCCCACAGUGCAGUGUUCAGACUUGGCAUAUACAGUGAUGUGUUCCUGAUUUCCAUACCUGGAGUUUGUGUACAGGUGCCAGAUGCCACAACCGGCUCAACUCCGAGUGAUCAUUGCAGAUCAUGAUGUCCGUAAAGUUGUACUACCAUCUGGAAUCCCUGAGACAUUGGAUGACCUUCACUCAGUCAUUCGUGAUACAUUUUCCAUUGCCAAAGACUUCAGUCUUCACUACAAAGAUGUGGAUUUUGAUGAGUUUUUCACCCUUUUAUCUACAACUGACCUCAAGGAUAAGGACACAAUCAAGGUUGUGUUUCUCCCAAACCAGGAGCCUCCAAUCAUUUUAACCUUAACUGAUGUGACCAACAUGAAUAAUCAGCCUUGUGAGGAGCCCGAUGUUGACGACACCGCAUCUGUGUCAACCGAUGACACACUAAUUCUCUCAUCUGAAGAUAGUCCAGGCCACCGUUCCCAGCGCUGGCCCGCUCAGUUUUCAAUUCCCAGCUUUUCUGGCUUAACAGAGAUCCAAAUUCAGUCAGGAA